rnacentral:rRNA from 1 species
UACGUAGGGGGCGAGCGUUAUCCGGAUUUACUGGGCGUAAAGCGCGUUAAGGCGGUCGGCAAAGUUGGUUGUGAAAUCUCAGGGCUCAACCCUGAAAUUGCGACCAAUACUGGUCGACUAGAGUGUGAGAGAGGAAGGUGGAAUUCCCGGUGUAGUAGUGAAAUGCGUAGAGAUCGGGAGGAACAUCUGUGGCGAAGGCGGCCACCUGGACCAACACUGACACUGAGGCACGAAAGCGUGGGGAGCAAACAGG